GCUGACUCACUUUGCACCCAACUGCAGUCGCAGGUGGGUGCAUUUUCUGUCUGCUACAGAAACACUUUAGGGUUCUAUAACUACCUUGACCUGUCAAGGGUGAUACAGCUGUCCGGGGAUGCAGGA